AGGGUGUAAACGCUGCAGACUUGGUGUUGGGAACCCUUCGGGGGUGCUCAGUGCCGGAGAGAAGUUGUUAAGUCUGCUACUUGGGGAGUACGUCCGCAAGGAUGAAACUUAAAGGAAUUGGCGGGGGAGCACCGCAACGGGAGGAGCGUGCGGUUUAAUUGGAUUCAACACCGUAAAACUCACCAGGGAAGACUGUUACAUGAAAGCCGAGAUGAAGACUCUGCUAGAUUUUUCAGAGAGGUGGUGCAUGGCGUCAGUGACU
rnacentral:rRNA from 1 species